ACCCCACCAUUAAGGAUAAACAUGUAUCCUGAUAUGACUUGCUAUCAUUCAGAUCAGAUUGAAAAUUAGAAUCUGUAUAUCCCUUUAGUUUCAACUCUGAUCUUUCUUUAUAUAUGAGAAAAACAUACUUAGUCCUCUUAGGUACUUCAGAAUAUUUUUCACAGCUUUUCAAUGAUUCUCCACUAGAUCAGCCUGAAAUCUGUUAGCUACACCUAAAGCAUAAGC
rnacentral:lncRNA from 1 species